UCGUCUGGCCCAGAGAGGGCGCGUCCGUCGUCCCGCCGGACGAUCCAGUCGGUCUCCUCUCGUGAGAAUCGGUACGCCCUAGAGGACCGGAGCAGCGUGGGGGGGGGCGUGUUCCGCGGUCCCUCGGAGCCCGCGCACGCCGCGCCCCGCCCCCUCAGCACGCAGGCUCCGCGCGAGCUCACGCACGCGCGCGCGCGCGCUCUUCAGAGCCUCACUCUGGCCAGCGGGGACCGACGGGCGGAGGCUGGGCUGCUGAAGUACGAGGGGCGGAGCCAGGGCCGCCGCCGCCGCCGCCGCCGCCGCCGCCGCCGCCGCCGCCGCCGCCGCCGCCGCCGCCGCCGCCGCCGCCGCCGCCGCCGCCGCCGCCGCCGCCGCCGCCGCCGCCGCCGCCGCCGCCGCCGCCGCCGCCGCCGCCGCGCAUGUCUGCAACUGGAGCCAAGAAAGUGAAGAUGGCCACCAAAUCAUGCCCCGAGUGCGACCAACAGGGGACGAGGGUUCGAUCCCUGGUCGGGGAACUAAGAUCCCUCAUGCCGCGGGGCAACUAAUCCUGCAUGCCACAACUGUUGAGCUCUGGCGCCUCAACGAGAGAGCCCGCAUGUCACAAUUAGAGAGAAGCCCGCGUGCCGCAACUAGAGAGAAACACGAGGAGACUGCGCGCCAUAAUGGAAAGAUCCUGCAUGCCUCAACAAAGAUCCCAUGUGCUGCAACUAAGACCCAACGCAGCCAAAAAAAAAAAAGAAAAAAAAGGAAAAUAAAUAAAAUAAAUAUUUUUUAAAAAAUGGGAACUCAGCUAUGACAGUAAACAAUGCAUGUGAUCAGCACAGCAUCAGAACAGCAUCAAAUGACAGCCGAGGUGUAAAGAAAAAAAACUAUGCAUGUGGUUGCAAGAGCCACCAUGGCUUAGAAAUUUCAUGUUUCUUAGCCCAUGAGCUACGCUUCCAAGGUUUUGCAGAGAAUGGCAGGAUUAUACUGUACUUAGGGAGCCCAAAGCUGUGGCUUCUCACCAGGUGCCUUCCAGUCCAGAUGCCAACGAAGGGUCAUUUUUACCCUAGGCAAUAUUGCCUAGUAAUGUAAUAGAGCCGGCAGUGCAGAGCUCUUAGCACUCCGCCCUUGCUACCCGCUGUUACUCCCCCCACCCCGUUACCUGGCAACGUUACCGGGAGACCAUUAAUGCUGUAUGGUUAGAGCAGCGUUAGAGGUCCUGCUCAGCCAUUGGUCGGUGCUACAGUGGGCCCCACUCAGCCAUUGGUCUGCGUCGCAGUGGGCCCCUCCCCCAAACGAGCAACUGCCAAUGAGCUCCUUGUUGGCCCAUUCAGCCAACAGUCAGCAGUGCCGUGGUCGUCAGGCGGAGAGUGAGGUACCUGUUGCAUGUAAAUCUUGUCCCUGUGGUUAUGUAUUUAUUAAUAGGAAACUUCUAAAAAUAAAACACUCAGAGAAAUCAUCAACUUUUACAGAAGUGAACAAUACCAUGUCUUUGAAAGAUUUACGAAUUUUUUUUUAUAUGAAUUUAAACUAGGAUGUAGUGCAGCCACGGCAAGUAGAAACAUCAAUUCUGUCUUUGGAGAAGGCUCUGUUAGUGAAAGGACUAUCCGAUGGUGGUUUGAAAAAUUUCAUUCUGGGGAUCUGAGUCUGAAAAAUGAGCCUCGAGGGAGACCCAAAUCUGUUUUAAAUGAAGAUCAGUUGAGAGCCAUGGUAGAAGCUAACCCCAAAACAGCAAUUCGAGGUCUUGCAGCAGACUUAGGAGUUUCUGCUACAACAGUUUCUCGACACCUGGCUGCAAUAGGAAAGGUGAAAAAAUUGGACAAGUGGGUAGGUACCACACCAGUUAAUGGACGAUCAUAAACUCAGAUGGUUAGAGAUAUGCUCAUCUCUUUACAUUUGAAAGAACAGAGACAUAUUUUGGAGAGGAUCAUAAGCUCUGAUAAAAAAUGAAAUUGAAAGUGGUUGGGACAAUGGUUGGAUUUUGAUGAAGUUCCCGAACAUGUGUUCAAUCACUGCAACCAAAAAAGGUUCUGGUAAUGGUAUGGUGGUCUACAAAGAGUGUUUCAUUACCGCUUUUUUAACCCAGGUAUAACUAACAGUAGCAUCUUCACUGUCAAAAAGUUGAAAUUAUAUAUCAAAAAAGGUGAUCUAAAAGCACUCUGUAUUGGUUAGCAGACAUGGACCUAUACUGUUGCACGACAACAUUUGACCACAGAAAUCACAAACCAUCAUAGAGAAGUUAACUGAACUGAACUAAGAAAAUAUCCCACAUUCAUCAUAUUCACCUGACUUUUUUUCAACCAAUUACCACCUUUUCUGUCAUUUGGAACUCUUUUCUGAGAAACAAAACUUUCUCCAAUUGAGAAGCAGUAAUUGGAGGAUUUGAAUAAACAUUAACAAUGCUAAAUUUUAUAAAUAUGGUACAUACCAUUUAAUAUUUGGGGAAUGCAGUUAAUGCUAACAGUGCAUACUUUGGUUGAAUAAAGCUUUUGUUUUUCUCCAAAAUAUUUAACAUUUUAAUUUGACCCAUAAAAAUGCAAUUUCAUGUGGUUCAACUUGAUACCUUCCCAGACCCUGGCAGAAUGUGAAGACUGAAAGGUACCUAAGGUAUGGAAAACUACAAGCUGCCCAUGAGUUUUGGGCUUCUUCACUGGAGGAAUGUGGAGCAACCCAGUGUAUUUGUGUGUGAAAGAUGCUUAGGAGUCAGCCAUGCAAAGGUCUGGGUAAAGUGGGUUCCAGGGAGAUGAGCUGCCUCAUUAGAGGCUCUGGGGCUCUCAGAAAAAAAAAAAUUUUUUUUAAUUAAUUAAUUUAUUUUUGGCUGCUCUGGGUCUUCAUUGCUGCAUGUGGGCUUUAUCUAGUUGGGGCGAGUGGAGGCUACUCUUCAUUGCAGUGGACAGGCUUCUCAUUGUGGUGGCUUCUCUUGUUGUGGAGCAUGGGCUCUAGGUGUGCAGGUUUCAGUAGUUGUGGCUCGCGGGCUCUAGAGCGCAGGCUCAACAGGCUCACUUGUGGCGCACGGGCUUAGUUGCUCCGCGGCAUGUGGGAUCUUCACAGACCAGGGCUUGAACCCGUGUCCCCUGAAUUGGCAGGCGGAUUCUUAACCACUGCGCCACCAGGUAAGUCCUCUCAGAAAAUAUUUUUUGACUAAAGAAAUGAAAGUAUGUUUCUAACACUAGAAGGCAUGCACACAUGGCUCAGUGAUGCUUUUGGGUGUUAAUACUUACUCUGUCACACAGAGCCAGUCAUUUCUUUCAUAUGUUUUCCAUUCUGAUUUUAUAUUUUUUAUAAAUGUAGGUGGCCUGUCAGAGACCAUAAUUAAUGGCCUCUUUAUGAUUUUUUAACUAGAUUGCAGUUAUUCUUUGUGGCAUUUAGGGAUUAAGUUGGGAUAAAGAUACCAGGAUGGUCCUCUUCCUGCCUCUUUCGCUCAUGACAACAUGCUAUGUCUAAUCCAUGAAGGAGAGGAGAGUUAAGAAAUCUUGAAAGGUUAAGAGGUGAGAGGACAUCCUGGAAUGGAUCUUACCUGGAGGGAGAGAGAGACACAGAAAGGGAGGGAAGAAGGGAAAUGGAGGGAGAGAUGGAAUAGAAAUUCCCUAAAGUAGAAUUGACUAUGAGCCCAAGGAUUAAGGACCAUGGAAUGGAUUACUGCAAAAAAGAAAAAAAAAAAAUUGUCCUUUCCUUUGUGUAGAUGCAACCCUGCACUAUGACACAUGGCUUGGUGAGCAGAGCAUAGGGUGCUUUCAGUCCUAAUUUAUUCCCUGGCUGGAUGCCCUGGUUGGGAGUCACGUGUUCAUUUACUACUCCAUCUUUGGGUUUAUCAAGGAAUCUACAGAGUUUCUCUGGACUCUUGCUUACUCCCAGGAGAGUGAAGCUUCUGAUUAGUUCAGACUGAUAGGGUAAGAGGACUAAGACCGGAAGUGUGGGAAGGACUUUAUUUCAAAGACAGCACAAGGGUGAGGCUAAAUAGUAACAGGGUGAGAGGCAGUGUCUUGGCCAAUGGGAGAGAAAGUGGUGUUUCUGGAUGGUAGUUGUUCUAUGACCCAUCUGUCCUUCCCUCAAUUCUCAGACCCCUUGUCAGACUUCCAGAGCUGGAUGCUGAAUUUUGGUCUAAAACAAUCAGUGGAUAUCCUUGUCCAGCCCAAAUCAGUGUUUCCGGGAUGGGUAGGAAACCCAAAUAGGAGCAGUGAACAUGAUGAGACAGGAAAAGGAGCAAAUAUAGGAUGGUGAGCUAUCUUAGCCAUCUUCCCUACCAUCUCCAACAAGGGGUGUAGACCCAAGAGACAGAAAUGGGCCCUGUGGUUCUUGUGAGGACGUGGAUCCAGUUGUGCCUGAAACUGGUACUACUUAUCAGUGUUUUUUGGUUAUGUGAGCCAGUAACCUUUUUUGCUUAAGCCAUUUUGAGUUGGGUUUCUAUUUGGGAAAAAAAAAAUUCCUGACUGAUAAUGCUCCCUGAGCCUUACAUUAUUUAAUUGUAACCUUUGCAGGGCUUGGGCAGGAAGAGGGACAAUUAAUGUAAAGGACAGGCACAGAGUAGAUGCCCAAUAAGUAGUAUUUAAUACUAUGAGAGAAAAAGCAAAAGGAGGCAAAGCGAGGCGUAGGACACUUCUGGAGGCCCCUCUGUGUUCAGGGCAGGCCAGUGGGCUGAGUUCAGUGCUCAGCGAAGGCUGGUACCUGUCUCGUACUGUCCAGAGGUACCCAGCUGUAAAGGAGGGCUGGCUUCUUAAGUUGAGCCUGUGGCUUUCCUGCAAUGAGUGUUCCCUGACCCAGUGUGUUACUGGCCUCACAGGAAGGAAAGAAAAGCUCUCUUUCAGGACAAAGAUGGCAUCUUCUUUGUUAUUUGUAUCUUUUUUUUUUUUAAGUCAUAGACCGUUCCAUUUUGGAAAUAUGGAGUAUAAUGUGAACAGAAUCAACACAAAAUGACUACAUUUUCCUCAUUGUGAUGAUCAUCUCUCUGUUGCUUUGGAAAAAUAGGAACUACAGCUUUAAACUUCUAACGCUUUAAUUUAGGAGCUAUAUUGGGUUUUCAAGAAAAAUAAGAAAUUUUAUACACACCAAGACCUCCCAAGCAUCCCAGUGCUCUUGUUAUCCUUUCCCAGAAAAGAAAGAAAAGCUUUAAAAGGUUCCUUGGUAGAAACUUUGGUUUGUUUUAGUGUCAAAAUAAAGGAGUUGAGAUGGAGGCUGUUACAUCUCACCUCCCCUUACCCCCCAAGAACUUGGGUUGUAAUUACAAAAGGGGAUAAAAAAUGGCUUUGAGAGAAUUCCCCGGUGGUCCAGUGGUUAAGACUCUGCACUUUCACUGACAAGGGUUUUGGUUCGAUCCCUCAUUGGGGAACUAAGAUCCCACAAGGCGAGCGGCGCGGCCACAAAAAAAGAAGAAAAAGAAAAAGGCUUUGAAUGGCCAUUUUGGUUUCUCAAGUACAUAAUACCUAUAUUAAAAUAGUUCCUGGGGACUUCCCCAGUGGCGCAGCGGUUAAGAAUCUGCCUGCCAAUGCAGGGGACACAGG